CGCACGCACUUAGAGCCAAGCUGAAUCCACUUGCAUUUCUCCUGUCGACACUCACUCACUCACACUUCCCAAAUAUCCACGCGCGCCCAAGCUGAUCCAAGUGACUCAAUUUUCCGCGCGCCUCCCGGGUCUCACUCAGUGUGGAUCUCCGCGAUCGACGGACGAUGUAAUUUUGGGAAGCGGGUGGAUUUAACGCCGUGACAGGCUGGAAGCGCCGGAGACAUGGGCUUCUCUGCAUUUAUGGUCACAUGAGCAUCAGCCCUGCUGGCCACAUGCCGGUGAUGGAGGAGCUUGUCACUGACAGCAACAGCAUGCCAAAGCGGAUGGCCCUCAUCUGCUUCCUGUCUUUGGUCAUGGCGAUGAGCAUCCUGGGGAACCUGCUGGUCAUGGUGGCCGUCUGCAAGGACAGACAACUCAGGAAAAUUAAGACCAACUACUUCAUCGUGUCCCUGGCCUUCGCCGACCUGUUGGUUUCGCUGCUGGUGAUGCCGUUCGGCGCCAUCGAUCUGGUGCACCAGCAGUGGAUCUACGGCGAGACCUUCUGCCUGGUGCGCACCUCGCUGGACGUUCUGCUCACCACCGCCUCCAUCAUGCACCUGUGCUGCAUCGCCCUCGACAGGUACUACGCCAUCUGCUGCCAACCCCUGGUGUACCGCAACAAAAUGACGCCCAUGCGUGUGGCCAUGAUGAUUAGCGGCUGUUGGGUGAUCCCCACCUUUAUCUCCUUCCUGCCCAUCAUGCAAGGAUGGAACACCAUCGGCAUCGACCACGUUAUCGACGAGCGCCGCUACACGGAGGGCAGCAACUCGACGUCUUGCGUCUUCAUGGUGAACAAGCCGUACGCGGUGACGUGCUCGGUGGUGGCCUUCUACAUCCCGCUGGUGCUGAUGGUGCUGGCCUACCAGAGAAUCUACGUGACGGCGAGGGCGCACGCCCUCCAGAUCAGCGUGCUUCAGCGGGCGGGCGGCGCCUCGUCGUCGUCAGACACGGCUGACCAGCAACGCAACCACCGCAUGCGCACCGAGACCAAGGCGGCCAAGACGCUGUGCAUUAUCAUGGGCUGCUUCUGCCUGUGCUGGGCACCGUUCUUCGUCACCAACGUGGUGGACCCCUUCAUUGGCUACACGGCGCCCGAAAAGCUUUGGGCGGCAUGUUUGUGGCUGGGCUACAUCAACUCUAUGCUCAACCCCAUCCUGUACGCCUUCCUCAACAAGUCCUUCCGCCGUGCCUUCCUCAUCAUCCUGUGCUGCGGACGCAAGCGCUACCGCCGGCCCUCCGUGCUAGGCCCCGGCACGCCCUGUGCCGCCACGCGCAUCAACGGGUCCACGCACGUGCUCAACUGCUCCUCCGCCUCCAAACUGCUGCUCUGGUUGUGCAACACCAGGCCAGUGCCUGUCUAGCCGCUCUAAGCCUCACCUGCAGGCUCGCGCUCGCUCUCUCUCUCUCUCUCGCUCGCUGGCUCAAGUACUCGGUGCUUCACAAUGGGAACCACACCACACAGGAAAAGAAACCCCUGCAAGGACACGCAGAGUCCUGCUUAUGACACACCUCCACGGAGCCCGCAGAAGAACUGCAUAGCGGCGACCGGAAGAGAAGGACGGUCAUAAUGGCUGCCUAGCCAAACAGGUCAUGUUUGCAGUUCUGGUUCCUGCUCCAAUGUGACUGCGGUGCGGACCAAGUAGCACCAUUUGAGGGACCUUGCGGGUGUGAAGUUUCCAAAGCUGUCUUCGUUUCAAUAUGAUAUUUAAUUGAAUACAGCAUUUACGUCACCUCUUGCGUGUUUGGGCGCAAGUGCAGGUGUGUGAACCAACCAUUUCCAGGGGGGUGACUGAUGGUGUGCGUUCAUGUGUGUGAGGUGUGUCAGAAAAAAAUCCAGUUUUGGUGUCACAAAGGAUUAAUUUUAUUACUAGGACUGGGCUAAUGUAACUCAUUUUAAUUGUAAUUAAUCGCAUGAGAAUAACUCAUUUGCUUGUAUUGGCAGUUAUUGACACCCAAUCUGUUUCAACUGGGAUGGCUGGCAUUGAGUGAUCAUGUUUCGCUGCCAUUGACGGUGUUUUCCGAAAUUUCCAGGUUCGCGUUGAAUCAGUAACAGGCACACUUUUGCUCAAUAGAUGAUGUUUAUUGAUUAGAAAAUGCAGAAUAAAGGAGAUUUAUUGAUUACAAUCCCACAAGAGCAUGCACACAGAUAUCAAAAACAAGCAAACAAAUGGGAACGUGAUGCUAGAUUUGAGUUUGUCAAUCUCAGAAUCCCCACGUUACGUUACAGCACAACUAGUUGUCCCUUGGAAAUGAAAAUCGCUUACCGUGACAAACGAGUGGGAAGCCAACAACUCUCCAGUAAAGCGGCAAAGGGACAAAGCCAGGCGAUCCGUACGUGACCCGCUGGCGGACAUCACGGGUCGCCUGGAAAUGUUCGGUUUUUGUAGGGGCGCGCCCCGCGGAGCUGGAGAGACCAACCUCUGUCCCCGAGCGGUGCGGCCCUGACCAAUGACAAACAUCAAAGUUACUUUUGGUUCAGCCCCCUUGAAAAAUGGCUUUUCACAUGGGACAAAUGAGCUGUGCUGCAACAGAUGCAACAAAUGGUAAAUAUUAUGGGUGCAAAAGAAGUUAUCUCUAUAGGACCCAGGCGUGUAGUAAAACAAUACUAUGGUGCAAAACAAGUUAUCUCAUGAGAUUCUCAAGCGCGUCUCCUAACUAUGGGAACAAGGUGAAAAACAAUAGAAUUUGUUACAAUCUAUGUCACAGAAGCAAUCAUACAUCACAAAAGCAUGAUGGAAUAUUUUCCCCCAUCAGACGGCAAUAGACGUCCAAUUCAGUUUGAUCUCCCUAGUCAUCUAUCGCCGUCAAUGGCAGCCAAGGACUUCACAGUGAUGCUCAUAUACGGCACAAACAACAUGGUGAGAGGGCAAGAACUGCUAUGGUACAUUUGCUGCAGACAUUAGCUCGUCCAUUUAACUCUCUCUUCGUAAUGAGUUCGCGGCGACAUGAUUACGUAAGCAGAAAAUGCUGAAACUAGGGCUGUCAAACGAUGAC